rnacentral:rRNA from 1 species
AGAGUGAACGCUGGCGGUAGGCCUAACACAUGCAAGUCGAACGGCAGCACAGUAGGAGCUUGCUCUUACGGGUGGCGAGUGGCGGACGGGUGAGGAAUACAUCGGAAUCUACCUUUUGGUGGGGGAUAACGUAGGGAAACUUACGCUAAUACCGCAUACGCCCUUCGGGGGAAAGCCGGGGACCAGCAAUGGCCUGGUGCUGAUAGAUGAGCCGAUGUCGGAUUAGCUAGUUGGUGAGGUAAUGGCUCACCAAGGCGACGAUCCGCAGCUGGUCUGAGAGGAUGAUCAGCCACACUGGAACUGAGACACGGUCCAGACUCCUACGGGAGCAGCAGUGGGGAAUAGUGGACAAUGGGCGCAAGCCUGAUCCAGCCAUACCGCGUGGUGAAGAAGGCCUUGGGUUAGUAAAGUCCCUUUGUAGGAAGAAAGCAGUUACGUUAAUACCGGUUGUCGUGACGGUACCAAAGAAUAAGCACCGCUAACUCGUGCCAGCAGCCGUA